ACAGGUGCUUAGAAAUGAACCUGGGUCCUCUGGGAGAGCAGUCAUUCCUCUCAAUCACUGAGCUAUCUCUCUAGUUUCCUCCAUUGUUUCCAGGCAGGUCUGAGUCUACCAAUGGAGCUCAUCUCUAAAUUGUGUUUGUGUAUGUGGAGAUCUCGGUCAGCAAAUGUUGACUUUCUCAGAAGACUCAGUGUUCUGGACUACACUUGUAUCACCCACAGACCAACGGGGUUUCUUCCUGAAGCAUGGGCAUGGCUCCGUUCCCGCCCUAUGCAAGUGUCAGGAUCUCCAGGUAACAACAGCAGAGUUCACACGGAUUCCCGACCCAGCCUAUUUAAAAGGACUGUUUCUAGUGUUCUAACACUAAGUAUAAUUUGUAUCUGCUUUAAAUGAAGAAAGUAUUCCAAUUUACUGAUUUUGGAAAUUCCACUGAUCACAUCGCUGUUUCAUGAGCUGGGAGGCCGUCAUGGACACUGUGUGCCUCUGUGACUGACCUCAAUGCACCGUAAAUGCCAGAGUUCAGCAGCCAUCCCUUUGCCCAUGCUGGCACCCAGCAGUGUCCUCUAGGAGGAGACACCUGCAAGCGUAGGCUUGGUUCCCCUGGGCUUCAUUGCAGGCGUCUUUGUUAACUUUCACCUCUAUCCCUUCAGUGCCAAGAACCUUAACAUGAUUACACUGUUUCUGUUUUGAGUCCAGGCAAAUCUCAGAGCCAGAGUUGGUCCUGGGAUCCCACACGGGUCCCUGAACAGCCAAUCACACAAAUCGGAGAACACGAGCUUUUCUGACGUUGACCUUACCAUACUUCAGCAAAAUAAGAAAAAAAAAAGAGUCGAUAAAGGAGGCAAACAUGGCAUAGAGCACACAGACCUCCCCCUGGUACCAACUGCUGCCCAUCACUAUGUACAGUCCUGGACUCUUCAUGUGCAAUGUAUGCCCUUCAGUAAGAAAGACGCAAGGGCAACGACACUUAUUCCCGGGGUCUAAGUGGCAGCAAAGGCCUCAAAGAAGACACAACUCUACUGGAGGAAAGUCUGCUUUGAAAAGUGAGCUCAUGUCUCCAAGCCUUACAUCCCCUAAAGAGACUGUCUUCCAACAGAGAAGAAAACUAGCCAGCUAGAACUUUCAGAAGAGAACUGUCUUUUUUUUUUUUCCUACUCCAUUACUUCCCAACACAAUAAAUCUUACUAAGCUUUUGUAUAUACAAGGUUCAGUAAGCUCAAGGUUCAGGAUACUUGCUAUAUUUGCAAAAAUAAAACAAAUACUGACUAGGU